rnacentral:rRNA from 1 species
GCGACCGGCGCACGGGUGAGUAACGCGUAUGCAACUUACCUAUCAGGAGGGGGAGUAACCCGGCGAAAGUCGGACUAAUACCGCAUGAAGCAGGGGCCCCGCAUGGGGAUAUUUGCUAAAGAUUCAUCGCUGAUAGAUAGGCAUGCGUUCCAUUAGGCAGUUGGCGGGGUAACGGCCCACCAAACCGACGAUGGAUAGGGGUUCUGAGAGGAAGGUCCCCCACAUUGGUACUGAGACACGGACCAAACUCCUACGGGAGGCAGCAUG